rnacentral:lncRNA from 1 species
CCUCUGCCCGGGAAGGCUGCCGCCAGCCGGACAGGCCCGGCCUGCCUGCGGAGACGCGCUGCUGCCCCUUGCCCGGCUCGUGGGAGGCGGCUGAACAGAGGGGUGCAGAGCUGCCCGAGGCCUGCUCCGCGGCCCCCCGUUCCCGACCGGCCGGACAGGGACCGGCGCGGCGCUGACAGCACCCAGCUCCCCCGCGGCAGAUGCCCCCCGGGCGGGGGUAGAGCGGGUUCACCUUGCGGAGAGGAGAGGGGUUCUGCUUACACUGUCCCCGCCGGCCUCAGCCACGAAGCGCGAACACCACGGCGACCCACGCUCGCACCCCGGCAGCAGGCGGAACAGGCGGAGCCCACGCCGCCUCCCAUUGGGCGGGGACGCCCAGGGAGGAAAGGUCACGCAGAAGGAGGGGGCGCCUCGUGCUCGCACGGGCGUUGAGGGAGGGUGGCGAGUCACGCGCUGGCUCGCCCUCCCCCGGGCUGUGUGUGGUGCGCGCACGGUACGGCUCUCAGCCCCGCUUCCCGCCCUGGAGGCCGCUGGGCCUGUCACAAAUCCAGCGGGAGCGGCUCUGCCCCGCCCCGCCCACCUGCUCCUGUGCGUGGCCAGAGACAGGCGCGGCCCAUUCCCUCCAGCCGAGCUAUCCCGGCAAUAAGGAACUAGCUCCGUAUGGUGCCGGCGGCAGGCCCCAGGGAGCGAUCACCGAGGAAAGGGGAAAUUACUCCAAAUGUACAAUGGCGCAGAGAUCAGGCUUCUCGGGCUCUUUGUGUUCAAAAUUAGCGCUUGAUCCCAACUCCUCAAGCACACUCCACAGAAAAUUCUUACUGAAGCCAGUUUGUGCUCUCAGAUUAUCCCAGCUUCUUGUGAUCAGCCUAAACCUUAAAGGUAUGUUUACUGUGUAAGAACAGAGUUAGUGGCACUCAACUCCAUGGACCCAGGGCUUGAAUGUACAUACUGCGCAUGAACCCUCAGUUUAGAAUUUCAAGACUCAGGCCCAAUAUUCCAAUGUCUGCACUGUAGUAUGCAGAUCUGAGUCAAACCAGCAUAUCCCAGGCUUCCUAGUGUUCUCCCCAGCUGUGACUGCUCUGGUUUGUGAUGAAGUGUGGGAAAACUGAUGGCCACCCUAUGCAUUACAGGAAAUUGUCACCAUUUCAAGAGCUUCUCUUGCUUGCUUGCUUUCACUUCUGUUUCUGCUAACAGAUAGAGCAUCCAUAAGAAGCUGGUGGACAUUCUGACAGUGUUUUCUGAGCUACCAAAGGUGCCUGUUGGAAAAGGGGGACAACACGGACAUGAAAAAAUUGAACUGGCUGACGCUGCUUGUGACUCUUAGUGUAGCCGCUGAUGCCCUGGACCAGCACUUCUGGAGCAGGGCCACAAGCACAGACGGGGGAUUCCAUCACCAGGGAUGACCAGCAAUGAGUCCAGCACUUUCACAUGAAGAAAGCUACAUUUCUGGAGCUGCUGAGCAGCUUGCCCCAAACCUUCAGUGUCAGGACAGACAAAUGAGGCCAGCCGUUCUGGUCCAGGAACAGAUUUCUAUAACCAUGUGGAAACUGGCUAUCCCAAACUGCUACACGUCUGUUGCUAACCAUUCAAUGUUGGAAAGUCAACCAUGGGUAAAGUGGUUGCAGAGGUUUUUGAGGCAAUCAGGCAUGUGAGUUAUCCAAAGGUAGUGGGCAUAAACAAGAUCCCUGAAGUAAUUGCUAGUUUUAAGAGAAUGGGAUUUCCGAAAUGCAUAGAGGCCAUAUAUGAAAAUUAUGUGGCCAUAGUUCACCCUCCCCAAAAAGCAGAAGCACGUAAAUCACAAUGGGUACCACUCUAUUAUUAUGCAGGCCCUUGUACAUGCCAACAUGGGCUGCACUGGAAAGGCUUGUGAUGCCAGGGUUUUCCACUGAUCAGGAA